rnacentral:rRNA from 1 species
ACGGGAGGCAGCAGUGGGGAAUAUUGCACAAUGGGGGAAACCCUGAUGCAGCGACGCCGCGUGAGCGAUGAAGUAUUUCGGUAUGUAAAGCUCUAUCAGCAGGGAAGAUAAUGACGGUACCUGACUAAGAAGCUCCGGCUAAAUACGUGCCAGCAGCCGCGGUAAUACGUAUGGAGCAAGCGUUAUCCGGAUUUACUGGGUGUAAAGGGAGCGCAGGCGGUUCGGCAAGUCUGAUGUGAAAACCCGGGGCUCAACCCCGGGACUGCAUUGGAAACUGUCGGACUAGAGUGUCGGAGGGGUAAGUGGAAUUCCUAGUGUAGCGGUGAAAUGCGUAGAUAUUAGGAGGAACACCAGUGGCGAAGGCGGCUUACUGGACGACAACUGACGCUGAGGCUCGAAAGCGUGGGGAGCAAACAGGAUUAGAUACCCUGGUA